rnacentral:rRNA from 1 species
UACAGAGGGUGCGAGCGUUAAUCGGAAUUACUGGGCGUAAAGCGUGCGUAGACGGUCAUGCAAGUCGGAUGUGAAAGCCCCGGGCUCAACCUGGGAAUUGCAUUCGAGACUGUAUGGCUAGGGUGCGGAAGAGGGAAGCGGAAUUUCCGGUGUAGCGGUGAAAUGCGUAGAUAUCAGAAGGAAGGCCGGUGGCGAAGGCGGCUUCCUGGAACAGUCCUGACGCUGAGGAGCGAAAGCAUGGGGAGCGAACAGG